CCUACGGGGUGCUGCAGUGAGGAAUAUUGGUCAAUGGCCGAGAGGCUGAACCAGCCAAGUCGCGUGAGGGAAGACGGCCCUACGGGUUGUAAACCUCUUUUGUCGGGGAGAAAAGCGAACCACGUGGGGGUCAUUGAGAGUACCCGAAGAAAAAGCAUCGGCUAACGCCGUGCCAGCAGCCGCGGUAAUACGGAGGAUGCGAGCGUGAUCCGGAUUUAUUGGGGUGAAAGGGGGCGCAGGCGGAGGUGCAAGUCAGCGGUCCAAUUGCGGGGCUCAACCCCGUACUGCCGUUGAAACUGCAUCCCUUGCGUGCGCGAGACGUCUGUGGCAUGCGUGGUGUAGCGGUGCAAUGCCUAGAUCUCACGC
rnacentral:rRNA from 1 species